CCCCAUACUUAGGCUUUUACUCGUCCUCGAGAAAAGGAUGGUUAGGAACAAUAUCUGGGGUAAACAUUUAAAACAUUCUCUUUAUAAUUGUAGGGUGUUAAAAAUUCCACUGUGUACCAUAGUCAGGGAAGUUUAUGGUUAAGAGUAAAGAUCCUUUCUUCUCAAUCCUGUCACUUGGAGUUUUUGUAUAUUUUUGAAAGAAAGUUAGCAUACCUUUUGAUCCUCAUAGGUUCUCUCAGAUCUCUCAUUAUCUUUUAUAUAUAUAUCUCACUGAGGCUGUUUUAUUUUUGCAAAAAUUCUCAAGCAUACUUUCUUUGCAUUUAUUGCCUGAUCAAAACGGGAUCCGAGGAGGGGAAUGUCAUACUCUUAGAUCAAACACUUUGGAAAUUAAAAAUCUUUGUCAACUCUUACUGGCAUAUUGCUUAUUAGAGGGACCAUGGGCUAUCAUUUUUUUCUCUUUUCUCUUCUUUUUUUUAAGUGGAUAUCGAGGUACCCCUAAUUCUACUGCCGGACACUUGUCCAUUUUUUCUGCGAGGUUGUCGAGCACUUGCUCCUUUUUAUUUCCUCGAAAUAUCUCUAUUUUUUCAUAGCCCAUGCCUCUAAUGCAAUAAUACUUCGGAAGAGUGAAUCUUACUGAAAUAAUGUCUUGAUCUUGGGAGCAUGAUAAAUCUCUCAACAAGGGUCUAACUCAUUUUGAACAAACUCAAUACAGAGCAGAUAGCUUUUAUAAUCAUAUUUAAUAUUUUCAGUUUUAUCAGGCAUAUAAAACACUGAGGAUGGUAGCUAGAAUUUCGAAUAUUUUGAAAUAAAUUCUCCAAGCAACAAUGAUAUCAAGAAUAAGAAACUCAUACUCUACCAUCACAUAUUCCAUAUUGACUUAAGUAACACAGGGUUUUAAAAUGAUUUUUAUAACAAUUGCAAGUUUUCAGGAAAUAUCACAGAUUGAGAUUAAUCAUGAUUAUAAUUAUUUUAAUCUUUUUAUUUUAUCAUGUCGGAAACAGUAUUCUACAUAAUCCAAAAUAAAUGUAUGUGUAAAGUAAAGUGUGCAGAGUGUGUACCUGUGUGGUGGAGUGGUGUGUUUGGCAUGUCAAGGGAUCUCCCCCAUACUUGUUUUCUGCUUUCUUACAAAAAUAAAGUAGAGACACACAAGACAUAAUAAUAAUAAUAGUACUCUUUAUUGAUCUUGAGGCAUUUAUUACAAAAGACUAAUAGCAAACUGAUAACAAACUGAUGAUAAUAGCAACUGAUGAUAAUAGCAAACUUAAACCGAAUUUAAAGAUAGAUGACUAAGAUGUAUUGCCUCAAGGUCUAAUCUAGAUAACUUAGCGGCGUUCUAAUUCCUUAAUCUUCUUGUUGGCACUGGCAAGAUCCUGCCUAAGGCCUAGUAUAAUGUUGUGGUUAGAGAGCUGUCUAGUGAGGGAGUUGAUCGAGGACUGGAGAUCUAUGAUAAUUCUAUCUAGCCUGCGAACUUCCUCAUCAAUAUCCAU
rnacentral:lncRNA from 1 species